AAUAAAUAAAAUGAAACCCCCCCUCUCUCUUGACGGGUGUUGAUCUUUCAUCGUCGAGAUUCCAGAAGCUAACAACUUUCGAAUCAACUCACCAUCUUCGCAGUGAGAAAAACUCUACUAUCCAUUUUGAAAUCUCAACUGUAACACGAAUUGUAGCAUUUGAUUUGAGUAAAAUGGCAACUGUACAGAGUGAUUCUCUUCGAGUUUUCUGUAUCGGAACAGCUGAUACUAAACUCGACGAGCUUCGUUUCCUCUCCAAAUCUGUGAGAUCCAGUCUCAACAGCUUCUCCAAUAAAUCCUCAUUCAAGGUAGGAGUGACAGUUGUUGAUGUCUCAACCAGCCUGAAGGAGACAGAUAGUUGUGCUGAUUUUGAUUUUGUACCGAGGAAGGAUGUGCUGUCAUGCUGUGAACAAGGGGGAGAAUCUGUGGUCCAGCUUCCAGAUGAUAGAGGCCAAGCUAUUGCAAUCAUGAAUAAAGCUCUUGAAACUUUCCUAAGUAAAGCUCAUAAUGACCAGAUUCUUGCCGGAGUGAUUGGCCUUGGGGGUAGUGGAGGAACAUCUCUAUUGUCAUCUGCCUUCGGAUCUCUUCCAAUUGGGAUCCCAAAAGUUAUAAUAUCUACAGUUGCCAGUGGUCAAACUGAAUCUUAUAUUGGAACAUCAGACUUGGUAUUAUUUCCUUCAGUUGUAGAUAUUUGUGGGAUUAACAAUGUUAGUAAGAUUGUUUUAUCUAAUGCGGGUGCAGCAUUUGCUGGAAUUGUGAUUGGAAGGCUUGAAAGUUCAAAAGAACAUAGCAUCACUAAUGGAAAAUUUACAGUUGGUGUAACUAUGUUUGGGGUUACGACUCCUUGUGUUAAUGCUGUCAAAGAAAGAUUAGUGAAAGAAGGAUAUGAGACUUUGGUUUUCCACGCCACAGGUGUCGGGGGCAGGGCCAUGGAGGAUCUUGUUAGAGGAGGUUUUAUACAGGGUGUGUUGGAUAUUACGACAACUGAGGUUGCAGAUUAUGUAGUUGGAGGUGUUAUGUCAUGUGAUAGUUCUCGAUUUGACGCAAUAUUAGAGAAGAAGAUUCCUUUGGUUCUGAGUGUGGGAGCAUUGGACAUGGUAAAUUUUGGUCCUAAAACUACCAUACCUCCUGACUUUCAGCAAAGAAGGAUUCAUGAACAUAAUGCGCAGGUUUCCCUAAUGCGUACUACAGUAGGUGAAAAUAAGAAAUUUGCUGCAUUUAUAGCAGAAAAGUUGAACAAGGCAUCAUCAAGUGUAUGUGUUUGCUUGCCAGAGAAAGGUGUCUCUGCAUUGGAUGCGCCAGGGAAAGACUUUUAUGAUCCUGAGGCAACUAGUUGUCUUACACAUGAGCUACAGAUGCUUCUUAAAAAUAGUGACCGCUGUCAGGUUAAGGUAUUUCCUUAUCAUAUCAAUGAUGUGGAGUUUGCAAAUGCUUUAGUUGAUUCAUUCUUGGAAAUCUCUCCGAAAUCUAUACACGUUGAAUGUCAGCCAGCUGAGUCCGAAUCUAUCCAAGACAUUCAGAAUGAUAAUGCUGUUCUUCAGAAAUAUUCCUCAUGCAGCGAAAAAAGCUUUUCUUGCCUGAAUGACUUUCCAAAUGCAAAACCAGCAGAAACUUUGCAGAAAAGAAUUGUGAUACUGCAGAAAUUGAAAGAUCAAAUAAGUAAGGGCAAGCCCAUUAUUGGGGCUGGUGCUGGUACAGGUAUUUCUGCUAAGUUUGAGGAAGCUGGUGGUGUAGACUUGAUUGUCUUGUACAACUCCGGGCGCUUUAGGAUGGCAGGAAGGGGAUCCUUAGCUGGUCUAUUGCCCUUUGCUGAUGCAAAUGCCAUUGUACUUGAGAUGGCCAAUGAAGUAUUGCCAGUAGUUAAGGAAGUGGCAGUUCUGGCUGGAGUUUGUGCUACUGAUCCUUUCCGCAGGAUGGAUAACUUCCUGAAGCAGCUGGAAUCUGUUGGAUUCUGUGGGGUGCAAAACUUUCCAACUGUUGGUCUAUUUGAUGGUAACUUUAGACAAAAUUUGGAAGAGACUGGAAUGGGUUAUGGCUUGGAGGUUGAGAUGAUUGCAACAGCUCACAGGAUGGGCCUUUUGACAACCCCAUAUGCUUUCUGCCCAGAUGAAGCCGUUGCUAUGGCAGAAGCUGGUGCCGACAUCAUAGUGGCCCAUAUGGGGCUUACAACAUCUGGUUCGAUUGGUGCAAAAACAGCUGUCUCAUUAGAGGAAAGUGUAACUUGUGUCCAAGCUAUCGCAGAUGCUACUCAUAGGAUAAAUCCUGAUGCAAUUGUGCUCUGCCAUGGAGCCAACUAAACCAAAAUCUCUGCCAAAUUCCAGCGUCAGUUGAAAUAUUUUGACAAUUAAGCAGUACUCUGAUGGUGUACCAGAUGAGUUCACUGUUUCAUUAAUUUUGUUAGUCAUUUUGUCUUUAAUUCCUGGGCGCCUAAAGAAUAAGUUAGGUAGAUUACUGAAAGCUUAUGCAUGUGUGGGCUGCUUCUCAUAGCACUUGUGAGGAUUCUCAUAUAAUGUUAUUAUUUUCAAUGUAAGGCUGUGUACAAUAGACCUUUGUGGUCAGGCCCUUCCCCGGACCCCGCGCAUAGCGGGAGCUUUAGUGCACGGGCUGCCUCCUUUAUUUUCAAUGUCCUAUCCCAAUGUUUACGGGUGCAAAUCCUAAGGAAGUUGUCUAUGUUACAUCAUUUAAUUAGUGCACUUGUAUGAGUUAUACAUGUGGUAAUAUAUAUGAACCUAGAGAUUCUAAUAAAAGAAACAUUUUGUCAAGUGGUGAAGAUUGAUAUUCUACUGUCUUUCUUGAAUGAUCCAUGUAUGUGCAGCAGUCCACAUAGCUUUAGCAGUGAUUCCCUGCAGUUUUUCUAUUGUCUCAAUGAGUUAUGACCAGAAAAACAAAUGAUGGUUGAAACUUUUGGAUUUACAGCUGCAUUUUUUAUUGUUUAUUUCCCUUAAAACUUGCUGAUUAAAGUAUUUCCUAUGACAUAUUUUCUGGUUAUCUUCCAUGAUAUUUGUGUGAGUAGACAUUUAUUUUGUUAGAGGUAUUUCUUGGUACUCCUUUGAAUUUGUGUUUUUCUGAGUCCUAUAAUGUACAUUCAGUUCUUUAUGAAACAAGGAGGGUGUGUUUUUAUUUGCUUUUUUGUAACUUGAAAGUUGUAUCAUUCAAACAUUUAUUUUGCUUUCCGUAUCAGCAAGAGAAAAUAUCGUUUUAUGAUGGAUGUCAAUGAUACUUACGGCAUAAUUUUCACUCUAAGGAUGUGUUUGGUAUGAAGGAAAAUGUUUUCUUGGAAAAUAAGUUGGUUUCUAACUUAUUUUCUCAUGUUUAGUUGGUAAGUGGAAAACAACCUAACCUCGACCUCGAUCCUUGAGACCCCACCUGAGACCCGAGAACCGACUUCGACCCCGACCCCGACCCGGACUUGAGAACUGACCCGAACCCCCGACCUCGACCUGAGCUUGAACCCGACCCCACCCGAGAUCCGACCCCCGACACCUGAUCGAACACCCUACCCCGACCCAACACGAGACCCCGACCCGAGACCCAAGUCUCGACACCCAACCCUGACCCGAGUCCCGACCUGAGAUCCAAGAUUAGUAUGGAGAAUUGAUACCCGAGAUUUAAAUUAAGAUGGGAAGUUGGUGUGAGGUUCAAAAUGAUUUUAGAAAAUGUUUUCCUUACUUUUUUAAAGGAAGUCAUGUUCCUUAAAUUUGAGGAAAAUAAAUUGAUUUGGAAAAUAUUUUUUAAAACAUUUAAGCCAACCAAACAUGAGAAAAUUGGAAAGCAUUUUCUUCAUACCAAACACACCCUAAAUGACGUCUGCUCUAAUUCAGGCAAUGAAUGAGUCUCUUUUGUUUGUAUCUUCUUCCUUUUUUCAAUAUCUGCCCAAACACUUGGUAUAUUUGUAGAAUAUCUUGGACUUUUUUUAUAACAUAAAAUAUUUGCUUGUUAAGCCUUGGAGUGGCCUCGGUGGAAGACAAGAUGCGGAAAAUGCAAUUGAGAUGGUUUGGGCAUGUGAAGAGGAGAGACACAGAUGCCCCAGUGAGGAGGUAGUGAGGAGGUGUAAGAGGUUGGCCAUGGAUGGUUUCAGAAGAGGCAGGGGUAGGCCGAAGAAAUAUUGGGGAGAAGUGAUAAGACAGGACAUGGCGCAGUUACAGCUUACCGAGGACAUGACCUUAGAUAGGAGGGUGUGGAGGACCCACAUUAGGGUAGAAGGCUAGUACAUAGUCUCGUUAUUCUGCCCUAUUAGUAGGCGCAUUAGCGCACUAUAAUUUCCUGUGUGGAGGACUGAGAUUAGGAUAAAAGGCUAGAUGACUCAUCCUUUACACCAUAGUAGUUGUAGUUUUGCUCAUUAUUUUUUGCCAUUUGAUUUCUGCAUUGUAUUGUUGUCUAUAGUUGUGGCGUCGUUGUGCUUUGAUUAUCUUAUUUAUUUAUUUAUAGUAGUUAAUGCCUCUUUCUUUUCGUACCUUUCUACCAUGACUUUCCCACUUUUGCUAUUCCUUGUUUCCAUCUUGUUUUCGAUAUGAUUGUCCUUAUCUGACCUUUUAUCUUGUUUUCCUUUUGUUUUCCUCUCUUGAAGCCGAGGGUCUUUCGGAAACAGUCGCCCUACCUUUCAAGGCCCUAUAUCUAGCCCUGAAGAAGCAGCAUAUGUACUGAAGAGAACCAGAGGAGUUCAUGGAUUUUAUGGUGCUUCAAGCAUGGAGAGACUACCAGUUGAGAAGGC